UACGAAGGGUGCAAGCGUUGUUCGGAUUUAUUGGGCGUAAAGCGCAUGCAGGCGGAUUUGUAAGUCAGAUGUGAAAUCUCGGGGCUCAACCUCGAAACUGCGUCUGAAACUACUGAUCUAGAAUCUUGGAGAGGGAAGGGGAAUUUCUCAUGUAGGGGUAAAAUCCGUAGAGAUGAGAAGGAACACCAGAGGCGAAGGCGCCUUCCUGGACAAGUAUUGACGCUGAGAUGCGAAAGCGUGGGGAGCAAAC
rnacentral:rRNA from 1 species